AUAGCAUCGACGGGACAUCCUGUUGGUGCCAAAGGUUAAUUCCGGUGGCGGAUGGGCAUGCGUCGCAUUAGUUAGUUGGCGGUGUAACGGACCACCAAGACGACGAUGCGUAGGGGUUCUGAGAGGAAGGUCCCCCACACUGGUACUGAGACACGGACCAGACUCCUACGGGAGGCAGCAG
rnacentral:rRNA from 1 species